rnacentral:tRNA from 1 species
GCUGGUGUAGCUCAACGGUAGAGCUCCUCACUUGUAAUGAGGAGGUUGGAGGUUCAAUUCCUCUCACCAGCU